rnacentral:rRNA from 1 species
UACGUAGGGUGCGAGCGUUAAUCGGAAUUACUGGGCGUAAAGCGUGCGCAGGCGGUGCUGUAAGACAGGGGUGAAAUCCCGGGGCUCAACCUCGGAACUGCAUUUGUGACUGCAUCGCUGGAGUGCGGCAGAGGGGGAUGGAAUUCCGCGUGUAGCAGUGAAAUGCGUAGAUAUGCGGAGGAACACCGAUGGCGAAGGCAAUCCCCUGGGCCUGCACUGACGCUCAUGCACGAAAGCGUGGGGAGCAAAAGGG